GAUGAACGCUGGCGGCGUGCCUAAUACAUGCAAGUCGAGCGAACGGACGAGAAGCUUGCUUCUCUGAUGUUAGCGGCGGACGGGUGAGUAACACGUGGAUAACCUACCUAUAAGACUGGGAUAACUUCGGGAAACCGUAGCUAAUACCGGAUAAUAUUUUGAACCGCAUGGUUCAAAAGUGAAAGACGGUCUUGCUGUCACUUAUAGAUGGAUCCGCGCUGCAUUAGCUAGUUGGUAAGGUAACGGCUUACCAAGGCAACGAUGCAUAGCCGACCUGAGAGGGUGAUCGGCCACACGGGAACCGAGACACGGUCCAGACUCCUACGGGAGGCAGCAGUAGGGAAUCUUCCGCAAUGGGCGAAAGCCUGACGGAGCAACGCCGCGUGAGUGAUGAAGGUCUUCGGAUCGUAAAACUCUGUUAUUAGGGAAGAACAUAUGUGUAAGUAACUGUGCACAUCUUGACGGUACCUAAUCAGAAAGCCACGGCUAACUACGUG
rnacentral:rRNA from 1 species